CAAAAUUUCAAUAUGCGGGCA
rnacentral:siRNA from 1 species